GCCCCGGUGUCCUGCGGGCUGGGCGGCGCUUUGAGGCAGCGCUUCGACGGCGCUUCGAGGCGGCGCUUCGACGGCGCUUCGAGGCG
rnacentral:tRNA from 1 species